UGCUUGCACCUGGUGGCGAGUGGCGAACAGGUGAGUAAUACAUCGGAACGUACCCAGUUAUGGGGGAUAACUAACCGAAAGGUUAGCUAAUACCGCAUACGCCCUGAGGGGGAAAGCGGGGGACCGUAAGGCCUCGCGUAAUUGGAGCGGCCGAUGUCUGAUUAGCUAGUUGGUGAGGUAAAGGCUCACCAAGGCGACGAUCAGUAGCAGGUCUGAGAGGAUGAUCUGCCACACUGGAACUGAGACACGGUCCAGACUCCUACGGGAGGCAGCAGUGGGGAAUUUUGGACAAUGGGCGAAAGCCUGAUCCAGCCAUUCCGCGUGAGUGAAGAAGGCCUUCGGGUUGUAAAGCUCUUUCGGCAGGGAAGAAACGGUCUAGGUUAAUACCUUGGGCUAAUGACGGUACCUGAAGAAGAAGCACCGGCUAACUACGUGCCAGCAGCCGCGGUAAUACGUAGGGUGCGAGCGUUAAUCGGAAUUACUGGGCGUAAAGCGUGCGCAGGCGGUUUUGUAAGACAGGUGUGAAAUCCCCGGGCUUAACCUGGGAACUGCGCUUGUGACUGCAAGACUUGAGUACGGCAGAGGGGGGUAGAAUUCCACGUGUAGCAGUGAAAUGCGUAGAGAUGUGGAGGAAUACCGAUGGCGAAGGCAGCCCCCUGGGUCGAUACUGACGCUCAUGCACGAAAGCGUGGGGAGCAAACAGGAUUAGAUACCCUGGUAGUCCACGCCCUAAACGAUGCCAACUAGGUGUUGGGGAAGGAGACUUCCUUAGUACCGUAGCUAACGCGUGAAGUUGGCCGCCUGGGGAGUACGGUCGCAAGAUUAAAACUC
rnacentral:rRNA from 1 species